CACUGGAAGAGUGGUGGCAGGUGCCACUGGUAGGAACACUAUGGCUGGGGGUGUGUGGGGUCGGGGCCGGGAUGGCCCUGUGGGCUGCCUAACUCUGACAGCCCUGGCGGAAGGAAUCCGGGCUAAUCAGGGGCAGCCGGUGGGACCCUCUUCUACAGGCCCUCAGGCUGAGCCCCAGGAGCUUGGACCCGAGGCUGAGCCCUAUAUUCAAACACUCACCCCUGCCAUUGAGGCCCAGCCUGGGAAUGAAGUGGUUGCCCCCACAGCUGGUAGUGAGAUCUGUUCCCCACACAAUGCCCAGGAGCCAGCCCCCGAGAGACUAUACCAGGUUUCCCAGUAUUCCUGGGAGCAAGGAACCCUUGCAGACCUUGCGUUGUAUACAGCUGCAUGUCUGGAGGAGGCUGGCUAUGCUGGGACCCAGGCAACAGCGCUCACUCUGUCCUCAGCCCUAGAAGCCCGGGGGCAGCGGCUGGAGGACCAGGUCCACGGUCUGGUGCGUGGGCUGCUGGCACAGGUGCCUAGCCUGGCAGAGGGGAGACCCCGGAGGGCAGCCCUACGGGUGCUGAGUGCACUGGCUCUGGAGCAUGCGCAGGACGUGGUGUGUGCGCUGCUACCCAGUUCGCUACCCCCGGACCGGGCGGCCUCUGAGCUGUGGCGAAGCCUAAGUCGGAACCAGCGAGUAAACGGGCAGGUGCUGGUGCAACUGCUGUGGGCAUUGAAGGGCGCGGCGGGUCCUGAGUCUGAGGCACUGGCAGCCACCCGCGCUCUUGGUGAGAUGUUGGCCGUCUCUGGCUGCGUGGGAGCCACUCGAGGCUUCUACCCUCACCUGCUGCUAGCACUGGUCACACAGCUGCAUGAGCUGGCUCAAGGUGCUCAUUCCCCCGACAGCCCUAAGGUUUGGGAGCAUUCUCACCGAGGGCCACCUCACAGCCAUGCCAGCUGCACAGUGGAGGCCUUAAAGGCUCUGCUCACUGGGGAUGGUGGUCGAAUGGUGGUCACAUGUAUGGAGCAAGCAGGAGGCUGGAGGAGACUGGUAGGAGCCCAUACGCACCUGGAGGGUGUCCUGCUGCUGGCCAGUGCCAUGGUGGCGCACGCUGAUCACCAUCUGCGAGGCCUUUUUGCAGACUUGCUCCCCCGGCUACGAAGCGCCAACAACCCGCAGCGCCUCACAGCUAUGGCUUUCUUUACUGGGCUGUUGCAGAGUCAGUCCACCGCACAGCUCUUACGUGAGGAGGUCAUCCUGGAGCGCCUUCGAACUUGGCAGGGUGACCCAGAGCCCACCGUGCGCUGGCUAGGCCUACUUGGCCUUGACCACCUUGCAAUGAAUCGUGGGAAGAUAAGGCAUGUGAACACCUUGUUGCCAGUACUCCUAAGAGCACUGGGCGAAGGUGAUGUGCGGCUCGUGGGGGCUGCACUUGGAGCACUGCGGAGACUACUGCUGCAGCCCGGAGCACCUGUGCGACUCCUCAGCUCUGAGCUGCGACCACGCCUCCCACCGCUACUGGAUGAUGCUCGGGACUCGGUCCGUGCUUCAGCAGUGGGACUCCUUGGAACACUGGUGCGGCGGGGCCAGAGGGGACUCCGGUUGGGGCUUCGGGGACCCCUGCGGAAACUGGUGCUGCAGAGUCUGGUGCCGCUGUUGCUGCGCCUACAUGACUCCAGUCAGGAUGCUGCUGAGAGCUCAGAGUGGACACUAGCCCGCUGUGAUCAGGCUCUUCGAUGGGGCCUGCUGGAGGAGAUGGUUACUGUGGCUCACUAUGACAGCCCUGAGGCUCUAAGCCGCGUCUGCCACCGCCUGGUUCAGCGAUAUCCAAACCACGUUCAACAUUUCCUGAGUCAGACCCAGGGCUACUUGAGGAGCCCACAGGAUACCUUGCGCAGGGCAGCCACUGUGCUAAUAGGUUUCCUGGUGUAUCAUACUAGGCCCAAAGGAGUCAGUCAGGACCUGUUGGACUCUCUAUUCCAGGACCUAGGACAGCUGCAGGGCGACCCGGAGUCUGCGGUUUCCUCGGCAGCGCACGUGUCUGCCCAGCAGGUGGCGCUGCUUGCUCGGGCGCAGGUCCAAACACACCGCCCCAACCUCUUCCGCUUCAUACGCCACCAUUCAUACCCUACAAGGCCCCAUCCACUCUAUGACGAUAGUCCAUUCCUACGCCGGAGCCUUGUAGGCCGAUGGAGCUGCCUUGAACCUCGUUGAGCCAGUCCCAGCAUCCAAAUUUGGGGUCACUAUCCAUGUUUGUCGUUCGUCCUCACUAUAGCAGAUCUGCAGAAGAGGCCUUACUGAAGGGUCAUUGUGCGCCUGGUGCUGGCCACUGGUGCCCCUCGACCUGUAACUAUUUUCUUUGGGCCUACGAUGAGAAAACUGUUGUGUGUCUCUAACAUCCGUUCAUGCUGGAGAGCACAAGCCAGGAUUGCAUCUCUGGGUUGAACUAUUGAAGCAAGCAUUUCACACCCACCAGACUGUGAAUGACUAUGUCAUUACCCAACGCCUUGUCCAGGGCUUUACUGGGGAUGGCACGGCUGGAUAGACAGGAAGAGUCAGCCACAGGGGUGACCCCACCCCUCCAGGCACUGACACAGGCAGCUUCCUCCACACAGAAUGGCUGUCCUCAGGCUCCAGGGAGGCCUCCUCACAAACACAGGACCCAGCAAGCAACAGAACUCAGCAGCUUCGGCCAUGUGGCUCUGGCGUUAGAGUCAAGAAUAGAAGGUGUUUUUGUGACAGUUGAUCCUGGUUAGCGGGAGCUAAGAAAUUAGUGGUGAUUAAGAAGAGACCAGCAUCACUUCUGGGAAGUGUUUUCUGAGAGCAGAAAGAAGCUGUGUUCUAGAAGUGGCCGAAGUUGUACUCAGGCUGGUAGUCAGUCUUGGUACUGUGUAAGAGUCACCCAGGUGGUACUGGUUUUGGAGGCAUGAAGCUUGGCACUAUAAGAAGCCAGGGAAUGCCCCUGGUGAAAGUGCAACCUUAGUUGCAGUUGAUAGCCUGAUAGCCCAGGCCUGAAGGGGUCAUGCAAAAAAGUUGAAGCCUGGCACCAUAAAGGGAGCCUAUGAGAGGCUCUUGGUGAAGCCUAGUAGCAGUGAGAAAUUCCAGCGUGUUAGAGAUGCCAGCACCAUGGGAUGAAUACCAGGAACGGCAGCAGCAGUGGAGUGGAGUCAACCAGAGCCUAGAGUGCUACAGAGGGCAGAGCUGGAGAAGUGACCCAAGCCCUUUGGAGGAGCCCAGAAGAUCAU